CCCAACCAAACACACUAUUCGAUGAUUUAGCUAAUCCAUACGCUCCUCUAUUUCCUUUUUUGAUGAUUUUGACUAGGAAACUAGCGGAGAAGUCUUCCGAAGGAGAUGAACAGGAGGAUCCCAUAAUCUUAGACUACUUUACCUAGCCAAGCCGACACACUAGCUAACAGAGAUGACUUUCUGCUUCAGCAUUUUGCAUAGUGGCUCUUUCAUUGCUGAUUGGAUUAUACUAUUGUUUGAAGGUUCAACUGGUUUCAAUUUCAAAAUUGAAAGGAGAUGAAUACAUGAUGCUUAUAUAUCUGUCCAAGCUACAAGUUAUAGAGGAUGCUUCAAUUUUAUAUUCUCACUGAAUGCUUUCGGCAUGCAUGGGAGGAGAAAUUAUACCCCUUUAGAUUUUUAAGGGGCUGAAGGUGAGCAAGCCAUCAUUUUGGACCACCAUUUAGUCCUUGUUGGGAGACAGGUUCAAUCUUUGAUGGUAAGAUGGAAUACAUUCUGGAGUUUGAAGAAGUUAAGUAUGGUGAACCUCAAAAACCUAAACUAACAAGCCUAGUGCCAAUAGCAUAGCCAAAGCAUGUGCCUUGGAUGCCAAGAGCUAGCACCUGUUGGGAAGAGUUACUUUUGUGAAUUUGUCAUUGGAUACGGUGGAAUAGUUUUCUUUCUCAAAGUUUAGCCAAAAAUAUUCCCUAUAACAGCUUCAAGUUUUUUUUUUUCACCGACUCUCUCAUAACUCUAGUCAUUCUUCAUCACCACCUUGUUAUAGCAUCCACUACAUUGUGAAUGUGCAAACUUGGCACCAUAUCUGUGAAUUCACAUAUUUGGGAUCCAGUUUUGAAAAAUAAGAUGAUGUGCUGUUAACUGAUCUCGUUUCCCAUCUGGAUUAGAAUCAAAGUUUUCCAUCUAAUUUGCCAUUUACCAUGGUUAUAUUGCUAAGCGAACUAUUAGACAUGUCACAUGUAGGUCAUUUUGGGGCGCCAUUCUGUUAGAAAUAUUGUAUAGAGGCUCAUUUUGU